AGACAUGAAAGUUUCAUCAGCAGCUAGGAUCUUCUCAGGGUUAUAAGGGACAUGAGCUUCCUGGAGCUUGAUAUAUGCCAAUUUCAGAGCAGAAACUGAAUCAAACAGCUUAAGCAAAUCCUUGUCCUCACCACCACCCACUUUCCCAAUCUUAGGUUGGACUUUUUCCUUACCAGCCGUGGCAUCAAUGGACCUGCUACUCUCUCCCAUCAAUGGACCCUUGACAGUGC
rnacentral:lncRNA from 1 species